CCUACGGGCGGCAGCAGUGGGGGAUAUUGCACAAUGGGGGAAACCCUGAUGCAGCGACGCCGCGUGGGUGAAGAAGCGCUUCGGCGCGUAAAGCCCUGUCAGCAGGGAAGAAAAUGACGGUACCUGAAGAAGAAGCCCCGGCUAACUACGUGCCAGCAGCCGCGGUAAUACGUAGGGGGCAAGCGUUAUCCGGAUUUACUGGGUGUAAAGGGGGCGCAGACGGCGAGGCAAGCCAGGAGUGAAAGCCCGGGGCGCAACCCCGGGACUGCUCUUGAAACUGCGUGGCUGGAGUGCAGGAGGGGCAGGCGGAAUUCCGGGUGGAGGGGUGAAAUGCGUAGAUAUCAGGAGGAACACCAGUGGCGAGGGCGGCCUGCUGAACUGAAACGGACGUGGAGAGCCGAAAGCGUGGGGAGCAAACAGGAUUAGAUACCCCUGUAGUC
rnacentral:rRNA from 1 species